AUUGAACGCUGGCGGCAUGCUUUACACAUGCAAGUCGAACGGUAGGGUAGCAAUACCUGAGAGUGGCGAACGGGUGAGUAAUGCAUCGGAACAUGCCUAUUAGUGGGGGAUAGCCCGGCGAAAGCCGGAUUAAUACCGCAUACGAUCUAAGGAUGAAAGCAGGGGACCGCAAGGCCUUGCGCUAAUGGAGUGGCCGAUGUCAGAUUAGCUAGUUGGUGGGGUAAAGGCUCACCAAGGCGACGAUCUGUAGCUGGUUUGAGAGAACGACCAGCCACACUGGGACUGAGACACGGCCCAGACUCCUACGGGAGGCAGCAGUGGGGAAUUUUGGACAAUGGGCGCAAGCCUGAUCCAGCAAUGCCGCGUGCAGGAUGAAGGCCUUCGGUUGUAAACUGCUUUGUACGGUACGAAACGGACCUUGGCUAAUACCUGGGCUAAGUGACGGUACCGUAAGAAUAAGCACCGGCUAACUACGUAGCCAGCAGCCGC
rnacentral:rRNA from 1 species